rnacentral:rRNA from 1 species
UACCGGCAGCUCGAGUGGUCGUCGCUUUUAUUGGGCCUAAAGCAUCCGUAGCCUGUUUUGUAAGUCUUCGGUUAAAUCCACAUGCUUAACAUGUGGGCUGCCGGAGAUACUGCAAAACUAGGGAGUGGGAGAGGUAGACGGUACUUGAUAGGAAGGGGUAAAAUCCUUUGAUCUAUUGAUGACCACCUGUGGCGAAGGCGGUCUACCAGAACACGUUCGACGGUGAGGGAUGAAAGCUGGGGGAGCAAACCGG